rnacentral:tRNA from 1 species
GGGGAUGUAGCUCAGCUGGGAGAGCACCUGCUUUGCAAGCAGGGGGUCGCCGGUUCGAGUCCGGUCAUCUCCACCA